rnacentral:rRNA from 1 species
CAGCAGCCACGGGAAUACGAAGGGGGCUAGCGUUGCUCGGAAUCACUGGGCGUAAAGGGUGCGUAGGCGGGUUUUUAAGUCAGAGGUGAAAUCCUGGAGCUCAACUCUAGAACUGCCUUUGAUACUGAAAGUCUUGAGUAUGGGAGAGGUGAGUGGAACUGCGAGUGUAGAGGUGAAAUUCGUAGAUAUUCGGAAGAACACCAGUGGCGAAGGCGACACACUGGCUCAUUACUGACGCUGAGGCUCGAAAGCGUGGGGAGCAAACAGGAUUAGAUACCCCAGUAGUCCCUGUCUCUUAUAC